CGUUCCGUUUCCGUUUUUAAACCGUAUCUUCAUCAACGGACUCCCAACGGAUAUCAAUUUUGUCAACGGAAACCCUUUUCUUUUAUCCGUUAGGCGUCCGUUCGUGCUAUCCUGUACGGUGUGACCACAGCUGAAGUGAGAAGUAAACACUUCUAGGCUUAGAUUUAGAAUAAUGUGUUCUAAAAAAGGAACAAAUAUUAACUGCGGGACAAUACCUUGUGUGUAGAUAUAAAAGAAGAUGUGGUAUGAUUGCCAAUGAGACAACUCUCCACAAGCGAACAAAAUGACACAGAAAUUAACAACUAUAUAUAGGUCACCGUACGGCCUUCAACCAUGAGCAAACCCCUCACUGCAUAGUCAGCUAUAAAAGGCCCUAAAAUGACAAUGUAUAACAAUUGUAGCGAGAAAACUUACGGCCUUAUUUAUUUAAAAAAAUGAACGAAAACAAAUAUGUAACACAUUAAACAAACGACAACCACUGAAAUACAUGGUCCUAACUUAGGACAGGCACAUACAUACAUAAUGUGGCGGGUUAAACAUGUUAUAGCGGGAUCCCAACCCUCCCCUAACCUGGGACAGUGGAAUAACAGUACAACAUAAGAAAGAAUCAUAAAAGUCAGUUGAAAAGGGC
rnacentral:lncRNA from 1 species